rnacentral:rRNA from 1 species
UACGUAGGCAGCUAGCGUUGUUCGGAAUUACUGGGCGUAAAGCGAGUGUAGGCGGUUUGCCAAGUCCGUUGUGAAAUCUCCCGGCUCAACUGGGAGGGUGCGGCGGAAACUGGCAGGCUAGAGUGCGGAAUGGGAGAGUGGAAUUCCUGGUGUAGCGGUGAAAUGCGUAGAUAUCAGGAGGAACACCCAUGGCGAAGGCAGGUUACUGGGCAUUAUCUGACGCUGAGGCGCGAAAGCGUGGGUAGCAAACAGG